CCGUUCUGUGGGCGCGGCGUGGAGUAGAGCUCCUGCAUGGCUAUUCCUCUCGCCGCGCGGGGCUCUUGGCUCCGGACCGACGCCCGCACUUUCUGCUCACCUUUGCCCUCUAUGCUGAGCUCUUAGAGGUCCCAGCUAUGCCAUCCCGGGCUUGCUGGAUCCGCUGUCUUCCAACUGCUCUUCAGGACCUGGCUCCUGGAGGGCGACACCACCCCCCAACCUAGAAAUUCCACUUUGACCUGUAAUGAAUCCUCCUCCAACGUUCCCAGCGUCGUCUUGGACCCUCUUUUAUUGCAAAAACUACAAAUGAAAUUGAUUAAGAAGGUUUGGGGCAGGAUGCUGACAUGAUAUGAUGUUCAUCUGAGUCCAGCUUUUGAAGAUAAAAAUCAAAACUUAGCCAUUUCCUUGAUCCUAACAAGGACUUGACAUGGACUAAUGAAUCUGGAACCAUCUUCAGCCUGUGAUCAGUCAUAAUCCAGAAGAAGCCAAGCAGACCAUCCAUCACUCUCUGGAGAGAGAGAUGCCCUCAUCUCCCACCUGCA